rnacentral:rRNA from 1 species
GAACGGUAGCACACAGAGCUUGCUCUCGGGUGACGAGUGGCGGACGGGUGAGUAAUGUCUGGGAAACUGCCUGAUGGAGGGGGAUAACUACUGGAAACGGUAGCUAAUACCGCAUAACGUCGCAAGACCAAAGUGGGGGACCUUCGGGCCUCAUGCCAUCGGAUGUGCCCAGAUGGGAUUAGCUAGUGGUGGGGUAACGGCUCACCUAGGCGACGAUCCCUAGCUGGUCUGAGAGGAUGACCAGCCACACUGGAACUGAGACACGGUCCAGACUCCUACGGGAGGCAGCAGUGGGGAAUAUUGCACAAUGGGCGCAAGCCUGAUGCAGCCAUGCCGCGUGUAUGAAGAAGGCCUUCGGGUUGUAAAGUACUUUCAGCGAGGAGGAAGGCGUUGAAGUUAAUAACCUCAGCGAUUGACGUUACUCGCAAAAGAAGCACCGGCUAACUCCGUGCCAGCAGCCGCGGUAAUACGGAGGGUGCAAGCGUUAAUCGGAAUUACUGGGCGUAAAGCGCACGCAGGCGGUCUGUUAAGUCGGAUGUGAAAUCCCCGGGCUCAACCUGGGAACUGCAUUCGAAACUGGCAGGCUUGAGUCUUGUAGAGGGGGGUAGAAUUCCAGGUGUAGCGGUGAAAUGCGUAUAGAUCUGGAGGAAUACCGGUGGCGAAGGCGGCCCCCUGGACAAAGACUGACGCUCAGGUGCGAAAGCGUGAGGAGCAAAC